rnacentral:lncRNA from 1 species
GAAAAAGGAGAGAAGGAAAGGUAAGAAAAUUUAGGAAUGAAUAUGAAUUGUUGACUUACCCAAAUGAAAUUCUUACGCAACUCCUCCUAAAUUGAAAAAGCAUAAUAAUCCAAUUGAAAACCAUUAUACCCCUAAGUCGUGACCAUCAACACCCAGCAACGAUCGCUCCGAUCUCGUCGAUUUCUGGCCAAUCCACAUGAGCUCAUCCACGACUCAUUAGUGUGUUCAAGCUAUCUCCGACCAGACACUACAGAGGCCAUUACACAUAGCAAAGAAGAGUGAAGCUCCACUUUUCCCAAAUCUGAGAAACCUGUUCCAUUCGAAGAUGCGUGAAGCUCUAGGGCCUAACCCAUAUCCCUGAAGGUAUCAUCACUUCUGUGGCUUGACAUACAUGUAAUUUUGUUUAGUAAACUGAAAUUGGCAAAAUGAAUUUUCAUGAAGGUGAUGCUGUAUAUCUGUACUUAUGUUUAAUGAAUUUAAACUAACAACAACUUGCAAAAUUUGCUUUUUCAUGAAUGUAAUGGAAAUCAUGAACAUAGUGGAAGGAAAAACGUAUGAUGAUGUACAUCGGGGGGGUCGGAUAAUGAGAACGUUACGGAAACCGUGAACCUAUGGGGAGAUGGUGUAAUUGUGCAUGAGUUGGGCAUGCUGUUCAAAGACGAGAAAGAGAUAUUUCAAUUGCACAAAAAGUAUACUCCAAUGAAGAAAAGGAGUUCAAAAAAGGGGGAUGAUGGAGUUUUGAGGUAUGUGACUUUGACAUGUAGUCGCAAAGGCCGAAGAAGCAUGAAGCAAGUCCUAAAGUGAGCCAUUUAUUGCUGGACCGAAUUGGAUGCAGUACAUAUUUGUCUAUUUUUUGUGGUUUAUGCUGGAACAAAUACUGUAUGGAUGAUGGUGCUUCAAUUUUUUUCUAUGUGAAGGACAUUUGCUUGUUACAAAAAGGUUCUCUAAGGAUUUAGUCCUAUUUUUUAAUUAGAAGGUAAUUUGUAAAUUACAUGUAGUAGACUUGCCUACAUAUUUUUGUACACUAUAUAGGAAAAUAGAGAAUGG